GAUGAACGCUGGCGGCGUGCCUAAUACAUGCAAGUCGAGCGAACAGACGAGGAGCUUGCUCCUCUGACGUUAGCGGCGGACGGGUGCGUAACACGUGGAUAACCUACCUAUAAGACUGGGAUAACUUCGGGAAACCGGAGCUAAUACCGGAUAAUAUAUUGAACCGCAUGGUUCAAUAGUGAAAGACGGUUUUGCUGUCACUUAUAGAUGGAUCCGCGCCGCAUUAGCUAGUUGGUAAGGUAACGGCUUACCAAGGCAACGAUGCGUAGCCGACCUGAGAGGGUGAUCGGCCACACUGGAACUGAGACACGGUCCAGACUCCGACGGGAGGCCGCAGUAGGGAAUCUUCCGCAAUGGGCGAAAGCUUGACGGAGCAACGCCGCGUGAGUGAUGAAGGUCUUCGGAUCGUAAAACUCUGUUAUUAGGGAAGAACAAAUGUGUAAGUAACUAUGCACGUCUUGACGGUACCUAAUCAGAAAGCCACGGCUAACUACGUG
rnacentral:rRNA from 1 species